UGUCUUAUAGCACAACCAGUGCAAACCGCUACUGCCUUCCUUCCUUUUCCUUCCUCAUCCGCAAUAUGUGUGCACAGUGAAAAACGUGGCAAAAACGCAGAAAUCAGCUGUUCUCGUUUGUUUACAUUUCAUUUGUUUGACACUUCAUACAAUUCUAAAAAUUGUGUCAGCAGCAAUAUGGAAGUGGACAUUAGUGGUGAAAUGUUUUUACAUUUGUGCGAAUUGUACUUUUUAUAUAGUUUAUAUAAACAGUAUAAAAACAAAAAACGAAAGAGAAAGUACAAAAUUCGCCCAAUUAAUAAAAACUGGGGCGUUUGCGGUUACCAGAUAAAAACUUUUCUGCUAAUGAAAAACAGCAAAACAGAACAACUUUUUUUUGCAUACAAGGAUGCGGCCGGACGUCUAUAAUUUGCUUCUGAAUUUCGCAUGGAAAUCCUUGAAGAAGCCAUGGCAGCCCGGAUUGGACCCGAGGAAAGGCUCUCGUUGGUAUUACUCUAUUUGUCACAAGGCGUGUCGGUGCAGAGCAUUUCAUGGAGCUAUAUUCCAAUUCGAUGUUUUACAAUUAUAAAAAAUUCUUUAACAUCGUUUUGAUGGCUGUAUGUGAUGCGAAAUAUACGUUCACAGCAGUUAAUAUUGGCAGCUAAGGAAGUCAAAGUGACGGAGGAAUCUUUCGACUUACUCCAUUUGGCAGUGCACUAAUACAAAACACUCUGCCUUUGCCACCACCUGUGCCACUGUCUGACGUGUCACCGGAACCUUUUCCUUACUUUUUCGUUGGAGAUGCUGCACUCCCAUUAUGAAAUAAUUUAAUGCGCCCAUUUCCUUGAACUAUUCUAACACACACGAAACGUAUUUUCAAUUAUCGAUUGUCACGCGCUCGUAGAGUCAUAGAAAAUUCCUUUGGUAUAUUGACUGCUCGGUGGAGAAUUUUGAAAACAACGAUUGAAUGUAAUCCAGAAAAUUGUGAAAAAAUUGUGUUGGCGUGCAUAGCCUUACACAAUUUUAUAAUGUUGAAUGACCACAAUCGCUGGUAUUGUCCGGAGAACUAUGUAGAUCGAGUGGAAGGAGAAAACAUUGUUCAUGCCGGUGAGUGGCGCCGGGAAAAUGAAAACAACUCUUUACGACCAAUGCGAACUUCGGUGCGUAGAGGUCCUUCAAAUGCGUUUAACUUACGGGAGAGACUUCCUAACUAUUUUAUAAAUGAAGUAUCUGUACCUUUCCAGAACAAUUUAGACUCUUUUACAGGAGGACUAUAUGAUCCUGGAGGACCUUAUUAGAAAUAAAUACCUUUUUUUUUUAGUUCACGAGAUUUGAAGAAUUGAAAUAAAUGAAAUUUUAAUUAAAAACAAAAUAAUAUUUUUAGAAUUAUUUACAUAAGAAAUGAAUUAUCUAACAACAUAUAAAUAAUAGUGAAAUAAUAAUUUAAAAAUAAAUACUUCAUUUAUAUAUUCUAUAUUAAAUUAA